rnacentral:rRNA from 1 species
UGGGGAAUAUUGCACAAUGGGCGCAAGCCUGAUGCAGCCAUGCCGCGUGUGUGAAGAAGGCCUUCGGGUUGUAAAGCACUUUCAGCGAGGAGGAAGGUGGUGGACUUAAUACGUUCAUCAAUUGACGUUACUCGCAGAAGAAGCACCGGCUAACUCCGUGCCAGCAGCCGCGGUAAUACGGAGGGUGCAAGCGUUAAUCGGAAUUACUGGGCGUAAAGCGCACGCAGGCGGUUUGUUAAGUCAGAUGUGAAAUCCCCGGGCUCAACCUGGGAACUGCAUUUGAAACUGGCAAGCUAGAGUCUCGUAGAGGGGGGUAGAAUUCCAGGUGUAGCGGUGAAAUGCGUAGAGAUCUGGAGGAAUACCGGUGGCGAAGGCGCCCCCCUGGANGAAGACUGACGCUCAGGUGCGAAAAGCGUGGGGAGCAAACAGAUUAGNUA